GGUUUGACUUGCAGGUUAGAGUUCGAGAAGUUGAUAGAAGUGUCUUUAUGUAGGAUUACAAUCAAAUGCUCUUACCCUUGUAGCUCAAGCUCUGGUACUCUUUUUAGGAUCAGCUACAUCCGGAGUAAUCUGGGAGAGGUUCUUUUGCUUGCUAUGUUCAUGUCCCUUGGCUACCUGGGUAUUUUAGCUGCGGUGGUGCCAACAUUCUGAUAAAGGGUUAGUGAUGCAUGGUCCGGGUGGAGGAGGAGGGCCUGGUGGAUGGGGUGGAGGGGGAGGACCGGGUGGUUGGGGUGGAGGUCCAGGACCGGGAGGACCGGGAGGGCCGGGAGGACCAGGUUGGGGUCCAGGUCCCGGAGGACCGGGAGGACCAGGUUGGGGUCCAGGUCCUGGAGGACCGUGGGGUCCCGGGCCUCCGGGACCUGGCGGACCUUGGGGUCCGGGAUUUGGUGGGGGGUGGUGGGGCGGACCUGGUGGCUUCUUUGGUGGGUUUGGCAAUGGCAUAUGUGAGAUGAUAUCUUCUUGCUUCUACUGCUUGUGUUGCUGUUGUUUGCUAGAUGAAUGCUUUGGUGGACCUCGUGGCGGAUAUGGACCUCCUGGAGGACCUGGAGGACCUCCUCCUCCAUUCUGAUACAGUUUGUUUUACUACUCAGGUUGGCUGCAUCUGUAUUUCAAUGUAGUACCUAAUAAUUGAGAGCUCUAUAUAUUAUUAGUCAUGCAAGUUACAAAGUCUCAUGGACACAGCUUAUUAAGACCACGCUGCAUUUUGAGUCUUGUUAAUGUCAGCUUAUUAUUACCAUAUUGCAUUUCGAGUCUUGUUAAUGUAGAGUUUAGUGAUGAAAGUUGGAUUGUGAGCUUUAUGCUGAGUUAUUCAGUUACACUGUUUCGAGAACCCUUGUUGUUUACUUCCAAAUUGAAAUGAAAGGCACUUAUUCAUCCCCGUAAUCAAUCCUUUGAGAAAUGAUUUGAUUGUUCAAUGAGUUUCUGGAGAAUGAUCUUAUCUUGAGCCAUGCAAGUACCAAUUUUGAAGACUAAUGGACGCACUACAAAAUUUAUAGACGCACGACAAAAUCUACUUCCCUUUCUGUCAAAGCAAUCAUAAUUUGGAAAUGAAUCAAGUCCAAUUACAAUUUGAUUGCUAUUUACAGUAUAGUAUAUUCUUUUCUUUCUUUGACUGCAUAAUGUUUGCAUAUGUACAAUACUGGUAAGUAAAAUGAGCCCAUUGUCGGUGCUUCAGACUCAUGAGGAUCGAAGUCGACUGCUUAUAAGUUAUAGUUUCCAACCAUUUACAGAAAACUUUAGCCAAGAAGUAUACAUCUACAGUGUAAGGCAAACAAAAAGGGUAUGCUAUUAAGGGUAUGCUAUUCCCACUUUCGGUUUGUUAUCCUGCAAUCCGUUUUGACUCAUGGAAUACAUACUUUCUGCAAUGUUUAGAUGAUAAUUGUUCUCUUGCUGCAGAAUUAGUAUGAUCGGUAGGUUGAUGCAUGAACCUUGUGUUUGUUUCUGAUCGAAACUUAAUAAACUGUCAGUCCAUUGCUAGAGCAAUUUGGGCCUAGUCCACUCCCAAUAAACUUCAACGAGAUCCGAACUCUUAAUAUCCUGGAAGUUAUUUCAAUGAGUUGGGGGUGGACCUGUACUUCUUGUUAAAUUAAAAGACUCAUUUAUCAAGUGUUCAGUUGUUUGUACUUUGUAGUACUGAUAUAAGUUGGAAUGGUAAGUAGACUUGUAGAAGAAGGAUAGGUGUCUGGUUUGACUUACAGGUUUGAGUUUGAGAAGUUGUUUGAAGUGUCUUCAAGGAGUCCUAGCUGGGAUUACAUCAAAUGCUUCAAGGGUAAGCAAGCUCAAGCUGUUGUACUCUUAUUAGGAUCAACUACAUCUAUAGUACUCUUAGAAAGGUUCUUUUGCUUCCCACGCUCAUUACACUUGGCUGCCUGUGUUUGCUAGCUGCGGUGGUGCCAAUAUUGAGAUAAAGGGUCAGUGAUGGAUGGCGGAGGUGGAGGAGGCGGUGGCGGUCCAGGAGGAGGAGGGCCUGGUGGAUGGGGUGGAGGGGGAGGACCGGGUGGUUGGGGCGGAGGUCCUGGAGGGGGUGGACCUGGUGGAUGGGGCCAUGGGCCCGGAGGACAGGGAGGGCCGGGAGGCUGGGGUCCAGGUCCUGGAGGACUGUGGGGUCCUAGCCCGGGAGGACCUUGGGGUCCUGGGCCUGGCGGACCUUGGGGUCCGGGAUUUGGUGGGGGAUGGUGGGGCGGACCUGGUGGCUUCUUUGGUGGGUUUGGCAAUGGCAUAUGUGAGAUGAUAUCUUCUUGCUUCUACUGCUUGUGCUGCUGUUGUUUGCUAGAUGAAUGCUUCGGUGGACCUCGUGGCGGAUAUGGACCUCCUCCUCGUUUUUGAAUUCUGAUACAGUUUGUUUUACUACUAUACAAAGGGUGUCUACAUCUGUAUUUCAAUAUAAUCACCUAAUAAUUGAGAGUUCUAUAUAUUACUAGUCAUGCUUGCAUAGCUCACAGUUAGAUGUUAUUAUUACCACAUUGCACUCCAUUCUUGUUAAUGUGAGUUUAGUGAAGAAAGUUGUAUUGAUUGCUUUAUGUUAACCUUGUUAUUCAGUUACACUGUUUCGAGAACCAUUGUUGUUUACUUAUAAAUUGAAAUGAAAGACACUUGUUCAUCCCUGUAA